AGUCGAGCGGAUGAGGGGAGCUUGCUCCUUGAUUCAGCGGCGGACGGGUGAGUAAUGCCUAGGAAUCUGCCUGGUAGUGGGGGAUAACGUUCCGAAAGGAACGCUAAUACCGCAUACGUCCUACGGGAGAAAGCAGGGGACCUUCGGGCCUUGCGCUAUCAGAUGAGCCUAGGUCGGAUUAGCUAGUUGGUGAGGUAAUGGCUCACCAAGGCGACGAUCCGUAACUGGUCUGAGAGGAUGAUCAGUCACACUGGAACUGAGACACGGUCCAGACUCCUACGGGAGGCAGCAGUGGGGAAUAUUGGACAAUGGGCGAAAGCCUGAUCCAGCCAUGCCGCGUGUGUGAAGAAGGUCUUCGGAUUGUAAAGCACUUUAAGUUGGGAGGAAGGGCAGUAAGUUAAUACCUUGCUGUUUUGACGUUACCAACAGAAUAAGCACCGGCUAACUUCGUGCCAGCAGCCGCGGUAAUACGAAGGGUGCAAGCGUUAAUCGGAAUUACUGGGCGUAAAGCGCGCGUAGGUGGUUUUGUAAGUUGGAGGUGAAAUCCCCGGGCUCAACCUGGGAACUGCCUCCAAAACUGCAUGACUAGAGUACGGUAGAGGGUAGUGGAAUUUCCUGUGUAGCGGUGAAAUGCGUAGAUAUAGGAAGGAACACCAGUGGCGAAGGCGACUACCUGGACUGAUACUGACACUGAGGUGCGAAAGCGUGGGGAGCAAACAGGAUUAGAUACCCUGGUAGUCCACGCCGUAAACGAUGUCAACUAGCCGUUGGGUACCUUGAGUACUUAGUGGCGCAGCUAACGCAUUAAGUUGACCGCCUGGGGAGUACGGCCGCAAGGUUAAAAACUCAAUGAAUUGACGGGGGCCCGCACAAGCGGUGGAGCAUGUGGUUUAAUU
rnacentral:rRNA from 2 species